rnacentral:rRNA from 1 species
AUUGAACGCUGGCGGCAUGCCUUACACAUGCAAGUCGAACGGCAGCACGGGAGCAAUCCUGGUGGCGAGUGGCGAACGGGUGAGUAAUACAUCGGAACGUGUCCAGUUGUGGGGGAUAGCCCGGCGAAAGCCGGAUUAAUACCGCAUACGACCUACGGGUGAAAGCGGGGGAUCGCAAGACCUCGCGCUAUUGGAGCGGCCGAUGUCAGAUUAGCUUGNGGUGGGGUAAAGCCUACCAAGGCGACGAUCUGUAGCUGGUCUGAGAGGACGACCAGCCACACUGGGACUGAGACACGGCCCAGACUCCUACGGGAGGCAGCAGUGGGGAAUUUUGGACAAUGGGCGCAAGCCUGAUCCAGCCAUGCCGCGUGCGGGAAGAAGGCCUCGG